ensembl:lncRNA LINC03004 long intergenic non-protein coding RNA 3004
AGUAUUUUCUGUAGAGAAGGCUGUUCAGAGAGAGAAAGGGGAUGGCAAAUGGCUCUCUCAGUUAGCUGGCUGAGCAUGUGAGCAGUCCGUACGACCAAGAUCAUUGUUGUCUCCAGCAGUGGAGAGCACCAGUUGCAGGAAUUUCAUCAGGGGCAUACAAGUCGUGGAUUUGACUGGGACAAUUUCUUGUACAUUUCCAUUGUUUUUAACAAGAGGAGGAAGCUGUGCUGUGAAGGAUCCUUUUUCAUCAUGAUUAUUGCAUCCACAGAAGCAGUGAUAAAUUCUAACAGAUAAUGCAACUCAGUCUACUUGGAUGUUCACACCUGAGACUGGAGAAGACCUGCUGCCUUCUGCAGAGCCAAACAUUCCUCACAUGCUCCUCCACAAUGCUAGUUAAUGCAGCAAGAAUAGUCUUAUAUAGACUAUAAACUCCUGGUACACUGUGUCUACAUUGCUCACUGCAGUAUCCCAACAUCUAAGACCAUGGUCUUAGAUGUCUGGUACAGGACUGGUGCUCAGUAUGCAUUGAAUGAAUAAAUGAAUGAAUAUAGCAAAGCA